rnacentral:rRNA from 1 species
CCUACGGGAGACAGCAGUGGGGGAUAUUGCACAAUGGGGGGAACCCUGAUGCAGCGACGCCGCGUGGGUGAAGAAGCGCCUCGGCGCGUAAAGCCCUGUCAGCAGGGAAGAAAAUUACGGUACCUGAAGAAGAAGCCCCGGCUAACUCCGUGCCAGCAGCCGCGGUAAUACGGAGGAUGCGAGCGUUAUCCGGAUUUAUUGGGUUAAAGGGGUGCGCAGGCGGAAGAUCAAGUCAGCGGUAAAAUUGAGAGGCUCAACCUCUUCGAGCCGUUGAAACUGGUUUUCUUGAGUGAGCGAGAAGUAGGCGGAAUGCGUGGUGUAGCGGUGAAAUGCAUAGAUAUCACGCAGAACUCCGAUUGCGAAGGCAGCAUACCGGCGCGCAACUGACGCUCAUGCACGAAAGUGUGGGUAUCGAACAGGAUUAGAUACCCGAGUAGUC